UACGUAGGGUGCAAGCGUUGUCCGGAUUUAUUGGGCGUAAAGAGCUCGUAGGCGGUCUGUCGCGUCGGAUGUGAAAACCCAGGGCUCAACCCUGGGCCUGCAUUCGAUACGGGCUGACUAGAGUACGGCAGGGGAGACUGGAAUUCCUGGUGUAGCGGUGAAAUGCGCAGAUAUCAGGAGGAACACCGGUGGCGAAGGCGGGUCUCUGGGCCGUAACUGACGCUGAGGAGCGAAAGCGUGGGGAGCGAACAGG
rnacentral:rRNA from 1 species